UCCCCAGUGGCGCAAUUGGUUAGCGCGCUGUACUUAUAAUGCGGAGGUUGUGAGUUCGAGCCUCACCUGGGGAA
rnacentral:tRNA from 1 species